rnacentral:misc_RNA from 1 species
GGAAGAGGAAGAAGAAGAAGAAGAGCAACUCACCAUAUUUUUGUAGCUCACUAAAAUACUAUCUUCAAAACACGGGCAUAUCAUGCAAGAUAAAGGACUCGGCCAAUCAAACUAUCAAAAACUACCAUUUUCUCAGUAGAUACUGCAAUGCUGUGGGUUUUGUAUGCUAAUGUUGAUUAGACACAUGAACAAGUCAAUCAACUUGACAGAGUCUAAAGAGUCGCAGAUAUAUACCCAUUUAACACAGACACAAGAACUGCAACUGAACCUUAAGCAAGUUUUCCAAAAACAAUAUGGUAAACAUUAAUGCAUAAUUGUUAGAAUUAAACAAUCAAUGAUUCUGAUCACAUGAUUCAAUUCAAUUUAAUUCAGACAUCAAAUGACACAAAUCAGGUGCGUUAAUCAAAAUUACCAAAACUGUGGACAAAUCAUACAAUUGACAACUUGAAUGUGCAAUAUAUGAAUUUUUCAAAUAGAAUCUUUAAAUUUAAAAAAGAAAAGAAAAGCAAAGAAACUAUGCAUAAAUGUUUGGCAUAAUGUGAAUUCUCAAAUAAAAUCUAAAGCAAGUCUUCCAUAAACAAGAUAGCAACUAAUAACCCAGAAAAUAACAUAC